UAACACAUGCAAGUCGAACGAAGCAUUGGAGUUGAUCCCUCGGGUGACGCACCUAUGACUAGUGGCGGACGGGUGAGUAACACGUGAGCAACCUGCCUCUCAGAGUGGAAUAACAGUUGGAAACGGCUGCUAAUACCACAUAACGUUUUUGUGCCGCAUGACACUUCAACCAAAGAUUUAUCGCUGAGAGAUGGGCUCGCGUCCGAUUAGGUAGAUGGUGGGGUAACGGCCUACCAUGCCGACGAUCGGUAGCCGGACUGAGAGGUUGAUCGGCCACAUUGGGACUGAGACACGGCCCAGACUCCUACGGGAGGCAGCAGUGGGGGAUAUUGCACAAUGGGCGCAAGCCUGAUGCAGCAACGCCGCGUGCGGGGAGACGGCCUUCGGGUUGUAAACCGCUGUCCUUGGGGAAGAAACAAAAUGACGGUACCCAAGAAGGAAGCCACGGCUAACUACGUGCCAGCCGCUGC
rnacentral:rRNA from 1 species